rnacentral:rRNA from 1 species
AGUGAACGCUGGCGGCGUGCCUAAUACAUGCAAGUCGAACGGAAUUUAAAAGGGCUUGCUCUUUUAAAUUUAGUGGCGCACGGGUGAGUAAUAUAUAGCUAAUCUGCCCCUUGCUGGAGGACAACAGUUAGAAAUGACUGCUAAUACUCCAUACUCCUUUUUACCAUAAGAUAAAUCGGGAAAGAAUUUCGGCAAGGGAUGAGACUGUAUCGUAUCAGCUAGUCGGUGGGGUAACGGCCUACCGAGGCUAUGACGCGUAACUGGUCUGAGAGGAUGAUCAGUCACAUUGGAACUGAGACACGGUCCAAACUCCUACGGGAGGCAGCAGUAGGGAAUAUUGCGCAAUGGGGGAAACCCUGACGCAGCAACGCCGCGUGGAGGAUGACACUUUUCGGAGCGUAAACUCCUUUUGUUAGGGAAGAAUAAGACG